rnacentral:rRNA from 1 species
GACGAACGCUGGCGGCGUGCUUAACACAUGCAAGUCGAACGGAAAGGCCCUGCUUGCAGGGUACUCGAGUGGCGAACGGGUGAGUAACACGUGGGUGAUCUGCCCUGCACUUCGGGAUAAGCCUGGGAAACUGGGUCUAAUACCGGAUAUGACCUUCCAUGUAGUGUGGGGGGUGGAAAGAUUUAUCGGUGUGGGAUGAGCCCGCGGCCUAUCAGCUUGUUGGUGGGGUAAUGGCCUACCAAGGCGUCGACGGGUAGCCGGCCUGAGAGGGUGGACGGCCACAUUGGGACUGAGAUACGGCCCAGACUCCUACGGGAGGCAGCAGUGGGGAAUACUGCACAAUGGGCGGAAGCCUUAUGCAGCGACGCCGCGUGGGGGAUGACGGCCUUCGGGUUGUAAACCUCUUUCGACAGGGACGAAGCUUCGGUGACGGUACCUGUAUAAGAAGCACCGGCUAACUACGUG